AUGGGGGACACGGUGGUGCUCAACCCCGGGCUCGGCGUGGGCCACCUGGUGCCCAUGGUGGAGCUGGCCAGGCCCUUCCUGCGCGGCGGCCUCGCCGUCACCGUCAUCGUCAACGUCCCGCCGGGCAAGGCCACGGACACCUCGGCCGCCGUCGCGCGCGCCGCGGCGGCCAACCCGUCCGUCCGCUUCCACGUGCUGCCCACGCCGCCGGACGCCGACGCCGACGCGGUGGCCCCGGACGCCGCCGAGGCGCCCAACCCCUUCGUCCUCCUGCGCCGCAUGAACGCGCCGCUCCGUGACUACCUCCGCUCGGUGCUGCCCUCCGUGCGCGCCCUCGUCCUCGACAUGUUCUGCUUCUGCGCGGACGCCGUCGACGUCGCCGCCGACCUCGGCGUGCCGGUCUACGUCUUCUACACCGGCAGCGCCAGCAGCCUCGCGGUCAACCUCUACCUCCCGCGCAUGCAGGCCCAGAUCGGCGACGCCAGCCUCGGCGAGAUCGGCGACGCGCCGCUCUCCUUCCCCGGGAACCGCCCCUUCAAGCCCACCGACCUCCCCGGGCUCGCGCUCGACCGCCACAACGAGGUGUACAAGAGCUUCCUGCACGCGUUCCAGCGGAUCCCGGAGUCCCGGGGCAUCGUCAUCAACAGGUUCGAGUGGCUGGAGGGCAGGGCGCUGCGCGCGCUCCGGGACGGCGCGUGCGUCCCCGGCCGCGCCACGCCGCCGGUGUACUGCGUCGGGCCCAUGAUCUCAGCCGGCGGCGGUGGCGGUGGCGGUGAAGAGAAGAAGCACGAGUGCCUGGCGUGGCUGGACGCGCAGCCGGAGAAGAGCGUCGUGUUCCUCUGCUUCGGGAGCAUGGGCACCUUCCCCAAGACGCAGCUGGAGGAGAUCGCCGUCGGGAUGGAGCGGUCCGGGCAGAGAUUCCUGUGGGUGGUGCAGAGCCCGCGCAGCGCGGACGGCGGGCCGGACCUGCUCGCGGACGCGCUCGCCGAGCCGGACCUCGCCGCGCUGCUGCCGGAGGGGUUCCUGGAGCGGACCGGCGGCCGCGGCCUGGUCGUCAAGUCGUGGGCGCCGCAGGCGGACGUGCUGCGCCACCGCGCGACGGGCGCCUUCGUGACGCACUGCGGGUGGAACUCGACGCUGGAGGCGAUCGUGGCGGGCCAGCCGCUCAUCUGCUGGCCGCUGUACGCGGAGCAGAGGCAGAACAAGGUGUUCGUGGUGGAGGAGAUGGGCGCCGGCGUGGAGAUGGCCGGGUACGACGGGGAGGUGGUGGCGGCGGCGGAGGUGGAGGCCAAGGUGCGGUGGGUGAUGGAGUCCAAGGGCGGGGAGGCGCUGCGGGAGCGAGCCAUGGCGGCCAAGGAGAAGGCGCUCGAGGCGCUGCAGGAAGGUGGAGCAUCCCGGACGGCGUUUGCUGAGUUUCUUAGAGAUCUUUAG
rnacentral:rRNA from 1 species